rnacentral:rRNA from 1 species
AUUGAACGCUGGCGGCAGGCCUAACACAUGCAAGUCGAACGAGUGGCGGACGGGUGAGUAAUGGCUGGGACACUGCCUGAUGGAGGGGGAUAACUACUGGAAACGGUAGCUCAUACCGCAUACCAUCAGAUGUGCCCAGAUGGGAUUAGCUAGUUGGUGGGGUAAAGGCGAACCAAGGCGACGAUCCCUAGCUGGUCUGAGAGGAUGACCAGCAACACUGGACCUGAGACCAGGUCCAGACUCCUACGGCAGGCAGCAGUGGGGAAUAUUGCACAAUGGGCGCACGCUUGAUGCAGCCAUGCCGCGGGUUUGAAGAAGGCCUUCGGGUUGUAAAGUACUUUCAGCGGGGAGGCGUUACCCGCAGAAGAAGCACCGGCUAACUCCGUGCCAGCCGCCGCGGUAAUAC